ACUAACUACGUGCCAGCAGUUGCGGUAAUACGUAGGGUGCAAGCGUUAUCCGGAUUUAUUGGGCGUAAAGAGUUCGUAGGCGUCCCGAUGCAUCUCGCUUUAAAUUCCAAGGCUUAACCUUGGGCAGGGGCGAGAUAUGAUCGGGAUCGAGUCAAUUAGGGGGUACUGGAAUUGCCGGUGUAGCAGUGAAAUGCGUUGAUAUCGGCAAGAACACCAAGGGCGAAGGCAGGUACCUGGGAUUUGACUGACGCUGAGGAACGAAAGCUAGGGGAGCGAAAGGGAUUAGAGACCCCUGUAGUCCUAGCCGUAAACUAUGUCCGCUUGAUCCUUGCCGCAAGGUGGGGGUCGGAGCUAACGCGUGAAGCGGACCGCCUGGGGAGUACGGCCGCAAGGUUGAAACUUAAAGGAAUUGACGGGAAUCUGCACAACCAGGGGAGCAUGUGGUUUAAUUCGUUAAUAAGCGAUGUACCUUACCUAGGUUUGACACGCUAGCGUCCUAUCUCCCAGAAACGGGGGAAAUUUGUAAAAAGGCUAGUACAGCUGUUGCAUGGCUGCCGUCAGCUCGUGCCGUGGGGUGUCCACUUAAGUGUGGAAACGAGCGCAACCCUUAUCGUAUGUUCAAUAGUCAUAUGAAACUGCCUCGCGUUGAGUGAGGAGGAAGGAGGGGAUGAUGCCAAGUCAGCAUGACGCUUAUGUCUAGGGCCACACACAUCCUACAAUGGGGAGUAACAACGGGUCGCCAAGCCGCAAGGCGGAGCUAAUCCCAUCAAACCUCCCCUCAGUUCAGAUUGGAGGCUGCAACUCGCCUCCAUGAAGCCGGACUUGGUAGUAAUCGCAGAUCAGCAGGCUGCGGUGAAUACGUUCUCAGAUUUUGUACACACCGCCCAUCAAGCCAGCAAAGUUGGGGGCGCCUGAUACCCCGGUGUUACACCGGGACAAGGGCGAACUCAGCGAUGAGGGCUAAGUUGUGAAUUUGUUGCAACCUA
rnacentral:rRNA from 1 species